UGCUCAUUGAUAGUUGCCCAUCAAUGAAAUUAGGGCUAGCUGUACCCGAGCAACCAACUCAGAUCUCACUUUUACCAGCCACAUCAAAGCCUUCACCAAAACAGCUCCCUGUCAUCUUAUUAUGUAUAUAUAUAUAUUUAUAUUAUUUAUGUAUUUUUUGUUUUUUUUAUCUUUUUUUAAAUUUAGGGUUAGUUAUUAAUUAUUAAUUAAUUUAUUUUUCUUCUCAUUUUUACAUUUGUUUUGUUUCGCACUCCUACGCACUUUGUCUUCAUUUUUUUCCUUAGGACGUUCCUUUUGUGUUGAUUCAUUGAAAGCACCUUGAAUUGCCUCUGAGUUUGAAAGGUGCCAUAUAAACACUACUGAAAGGUGCUAUAUAAACACUACUGAAAGGUGCUAUAUAAAUGCUACUGAAAGGUGCUAUAUAAAUGCUACUGAAAGGUGCUAUAUAAAUACUACUGAAAGGUGCUAUAUAAAUGCAUGUGCCUUGCCUAUUUAUAUCUCAUUCUUCUGCUCAUGGCAGUCAUAUUUUGAAGACUGGUCAGGGUUUACCAUUCCACAAUGGUUCCACAUCUGUUGGACAUAAUAGUCCAUAAACCUUCCAUGCAGCACCAAAAUUGUGUGGAUUGCACAUUGUGUGGAUUCACACCUCCAGGACAUCCUAAAACCUAAUCCUUGAGCUUUAUCCUCACCAGAAAAUCCUCCUGGAUGAUGGCUUCACUACCAGAAACCGA
ensembl:lncRNA